rnacentral:rRNA from 1 species
GAUGAACGCUAGCGGCAGGCUUAAUACAUGCAAGUCGAGGGGCAGCGGGGAUAGCAAUAUCUGCCGGCGACCGGCAAACGGGUGCGGAACACGUACGCAACCUUCCCAGAACAGGUGAAUAGCCCUCCGAAAGGAGGAUUAAUACACCGUAAUAUAUAGAGGUGGCAUCAUUUUAUAUUAAAGGUCGCAAGAUCGGUUUUGGAUGGGCGUGCGCCUGAUUAGGUAGUUGGGUGGGUAACGGCCCACCAAGCCUUCGAUCAGUAACUGGUGUGAGAGCACGACCAGUCACACGGGCACUGAGACACGGGCCCGACUCCUACGGGAGCAGCAGUGAGGAAUAUUGGUCAAUGGACGAAAGUCUGAACCAGCCAUGCCGCGUGAAGGAUGAAGGCG